AUAAAGUCAUCUAUACAUGCCAUGUUUCCAAAGUAUUAAUUGCAAAAUACCCAAAAAGUUGAUGAUAGUGUGGAUGAUUAUCUGACGUCGUCCAAGUUCUGAGCUGAUUGAUGUCACUAUAAUCAGGGGAAAAUACAAAUGAGUAAGCAUAUAGCUUAGUAAGUAAACAUAUGACAAGUAAAUAAAUUUUUCACAAGAUUACAUAGUGACAUAAUUUUUAUCACACAUAAAUUUCAUUGUUUGCUCAAUUUCCAGCAAGCUGUUUUUCUGCAUCACAGUCGCCAAUUUAUUUUUAUCUAGAAAUACAGGGCUCAAAAUUAAGUUUUGUAAAUUUUACCCAAAACUAGACUCAUAUACCUUUUCACCAUAAAAUUUUCAAAAUUUUUGGUUUGGCCAAUUAGUACAGUUUAUUCUCUAAAGAUUCCCCUGUUUCACUGCUUGACAAUUCUGAUCUCUCCUUACUAAAAUUUACUUAACUCACUGUACAGAAUUGAAAAAAUGUUCUUGUUUGUUUAUAUUAAAAAUAUACUCAUUAAGGAAUCCAAACAUAUAAAUUUUAGGCCAUAAUUUUUUUUUUUACAAUUUAUGGUGAUUUUCCAAAGUUGGAAUAGGGGAUUUCGAAAUCAAUUCAACCCUGUCUCAAUAAAAUUCAAAUAUUCCCAAAUAUACAACUCUUUUUCUUGCUCUAUUUCUUUCAUAUGAAAAUAAACUCAUCCAGAUUCAAUUUCAUAUAUUAUUCAACCUCUAAUUCAUUUUCCACUAUUUAUGGUGAUUUUUCAAAGUUUCCCAACUGUUAUUAUUCAAAACAGUUUUGUAUUUAAAUUGUUCUUUUGUAUUUUUGAUAUUUCCUCCCAUCUUACAUAUGGAUUGAUUAAGUAUCAAAACCCAAUAUUCCUCCCAUAAAAUUGUCCACCAUAUAUAAAUAUUCACCUUUCCAAUUUCCUUGUUGAACACUCGGAAUGUUAUCCGUUAUCGGUGGAUUCAGCACUUAGCAACCACCAAUGAGUCGGGGAAUCAGCACUUAGCAACCCCUUUCACAUUUAUGAUACGGUGGGAUCAACACUUAGCAACCACCAAUGAUUCGGGGAAUCAGCACUUAGCAACCCCUCGGGAGAAUCAGCACUUAGCAACCCUUCGGGGGAAUCAGCACUUAGCAACCCCCUUCACAUUUAAGAUAUGGUGGAAUCAGCACUUAGCAACCACCAAUGAGUUGGGGAAUCAACACUUAGCAACCCCUUUCACAUUUAAGAUACGGUGGAAUCAGCACUUAGCAACCACCAAUGAAUCGGGGAAUUAGCACUUAGCAACCCCUUGGGGGAAUCAGCACUUAGCAACCCCCUUUAUAUUCAAUGUAAUCCGGCCUAUUCCGAGUGUUCAACCGGAAACCGUGUUUUUCAACACUUUAGCACCUUUCCCAACUUAACCACACUUUUAGAAUCUUUGCCAAAUAUUUAUUCUAUGUUCAAAUAAAUCUCAAAAUAUAUCAAAUAAUAUAAAAAAUAUGCAUUAUUUCACAUGUUUACUUACCUCGGUGCAAAAAUAUCGUAAUUUUGCAAUUUACUCCACUAUCUUCUCUUUUCCCCGUUUGAGGUAGUCUUCUCGUCUUUCUUGAUCUAUAAUAGCAAAUUUAACUCAUUUAAUGUUCAAAUUUAAUAAAAUAGUCCUCCACCCAACUUUUUGAAAAAUUACAAUUUUGCCCCCAAACUUUUGAAUAUUUACACUUUUGUUCCUAAGCUCGGAAAUUAAAUUUCAUCUCUUAUUCUUAUGUUUUACAACAUUCUGAACACUUUUCCCUUCUAUGGAAACAUCAAAUUCUCACUCUAACACAUACUUUUGAACCUUAACUAUUUUUACCGAUUAUGUCAAUUUACCCGUUUUCGCUUAAAAUCGCUUAGCAAAAGUUGUUUAACAUAAUUUCUAGCUUCAUAUUAUACCAUAAAACAGCAAAAUAAACACUUUUCACCUAUGGAUAUUUUUCCAAAUAUAAACCCUAGGUAAAAUUAUUGCUAGAAUAAGCUAAAUUAAGCUACCGAGACUCCAAAAACGUAAAGAACAUUAAAAACGGGGCUUGAAAUCACUUACUAUUGAGCUUGGAAGCUUAAAAACCCUAACUAUGGCUUCCCCCUUGCUGAUUUCG
rnacentral:lncRNA from 1 species